AGGUGGACGCUUACGCAUGGGUCUCGACAAGGAUAUUUAUUUUGGUGCGUAUGCUGGAAGAGGCCACCAACUGCUUUUGAAUUCCGAACAUAAUUACCUUGUGGGAUCAUAACAAAGGAUUCGAAUUUCCGGAAUAUUUCCAUUUGUCAGAGGAGAGAACUCUUCUUUUCAAUGGAGCAAGUUCUCUCCAGCCCUCAGGGGUGUUCUGAGUGGGAGGUGAGCGGGAAAGCUGAGUGGGAAUCCGAGCAGAAUCCCCUCGGAUUUCUCCUUAUGGAUAAAGAAAACAGUUCUGUUGGUGAUUCUACUAAUGACAUUUUUCAGGAAAAUGCCAUAAACCUAGAUGACCUGUUUUGGUCCUCUCAGUAUUCCGGGCAGACGUAUUCCUGGGAAAAUGGUUUGGAAUGUGUCUAUCCCGAAUGGACGACUCAGCCUCAUCCUUCCCAAGAUCUCAAAGUAGAGGGUUCUCCUGGAGGUUCUGAAAUUGUUGAAGGAGAUCUCAUCUGUUUCAAUUCUAGAUCUACUAGUCCAACGCUCUCUAACAUACCUGUGCAGAACCAAAACAACUUUUAUGACCUUCCUGAACAGGUGCCUGAUUUCCUGCAACCUGUGGAGGUUACUGCCACUUCAAACUCUCUGGAUGUGUACACAGGUGAGAUGGGUAUUACUGACCCCACAAUUCAGUCUGACAAAGCAAUACUACAAGAAACUCGCCUCCUUGAGGACACACUUUUAACAAACUGUGAAUUCAGCCACGAUUCCUUAGAGGAAAGAACAUUUGUGAAGAACGACAGUCAGUGCUUGCUUCAUCUCACUCUGGAAUCUGAAGGUUUGUUGCCCAUUUCUCCUGUGGCGUUGUCAUGUACAGAUACGAACUCAAAUCCCAAGCCUUCAGUUAUUUGUCAGACACCUUUAUCUACACCAGAACACAUCUACCUCCCAUCCUCAACCCUUUCCUGUGAGGCCAUCCCUCUGACGACCUGUACAGAACCAACCGUCCUGUCAUUUCACAAGGAUAGUGCUCCCCUUCCAAUGAAUGAGAUAGAGAUGUUGUUACCUGGUCUGCUGGUUGGAGGUCUAUACAAUGAACAGGAGAGUAGUAAGCCCUCAGCUAGUAACGAGGCCCAUGACGAUGAUCUUCAGAACCAAGACACGACAGACAUUAACAUAGAAACAACACAACUAUCUUCUGAAGCAGAAACUGUCUGUAUGACUCCAUUAGGUGAGUCUUGCAUAUCACCUGAACUUUGUGAAGAAAUGUUGUGUGAUUUAUCCACAGAAUGCACAUUUGAUGUAUUAUUGGAAACGGUUGGAGAAAAGAUAGAGGAGGUGGUUGUGUCCAAUGUUACAACUGAUAACGUUUUUUCUGAAGCGAAAACAGAACUCACACCAACUGCUUUUGUUGAUAUACAAGCAGAAGAUCCUUCAACUGAAAGCCUACUUGACAAAGAUGAACAGAAAGAGUCUACAACAGCCUUGCCAGUCAACACAUCUGAGCAUAAUGCCUUAAUUGACCUCUCGCUUGAAGAUGACAUGUUAUCUGAGGACCACAGCCAGCCAACACAUUCAGCUGAGGCUGAAGCCUUAUCUGAGGUGCCCUAUGAUGGAGAUAUUCCUGAUUCCAUGUUUGAGAUCUUAACAGACAGCAUCUCUUCUAUGCCAUCUUUAUAUUCUGUAAUUCCACCUGUGACAGAUGCUAUUGAGCUAACAGAACUGGACAAAUGUGAUCCAGACUCACCCGAUCUUGAAUCUAAUGCACUCAGCCUUGAAUUUCUGGAUAAUGUAACAAAUGUAGAAACAGACAACGUAGACGGUGACCCUGAGGCUAUGGAGACACAGCGAGCCGAUGUUACACCCACAACAGGUAACACAGAAGACUCAGACACACUCAGAGUUUUAGAGAGCUUAGAUUUGCAUCAAAAUCAGGAGGUAACCAAUUCACAAAGUAAGUCGGACAGUUUGCAAAUGGUUAAUUUAAGCCUAAAUAACAGUAAAGCUGACAACAAUCAAGAACUGAAUGCAAUGAGAGAAACCUGUCAGGAACAAGUCAGUGCUCAGCAAAAAGAGAGCAUGCUUGUGGAAAAUCUCACACCUUUGGACCAACUGAAUGACUCUUUGACUGCAAACUCAAGUGCAAUUGUAAUGGAUACACCUGAAGAAAAUGUAACAGCUCACGAUGACGGUCACAAUACACUGCCGAAUGUGGAAGAGAAACUUCACAGUUUGUCUUUGAAGGGAGGGGAGAGAUCGGAUUGCAGUUUGUCUACUCAGAAUCAAGUCAUACCUCAUUGUGCAAGUAAUCCUGAUUCUUUAGAGUCCACUCCCUUCACCUGUGCAGGUGAUCAGCUGACCGUGACGGGUGGACUUGUGGGGCCGGAUCUUACAGAGACCACAGAGACUCCCAGCCAAUUGCAUGAAGCUGCUGGAGAGGGAGAGGCGGAGUUUCCUGCUCAGCUUACACAUCAG
ensembl:lncRNA